CGCAUGGGGAGCAGCUGAAGGACCCAACACACAUCGCAACAAGUCAUGCCAGGGGACAAAGGCAGGGUACUAACCUCUCUUUCUCUUUUUUCUUUUUUCACUUCAUUAACGAGCCACCCAGAGCACUCCCCAGGUGCAGCAUAAAAGGAGGCACCUGCCUACAUUAUGUGAGCCCAGAGUCGGGAGAAGGAGGAGGACAACGCUUGCCAGGAGUGAAGGUGGAAGGAGACAGACAGGAAGACUGUUCUUUAUUUGUGCUUGGUGAUUGUGAACCAUGCUUUGUACUGUUUUCUUGUGAAAUAUGAUUGAUUGAAAAGAUGCUGAAUCACAGCAGGUGCAUCAUCUAUGCACACAGUAAAGCAAUAAGAAUCAAGGAGCUGGCCACAGUCUUCAGGAAGCAGGUGGCAUACUAUACUCAAAGCCAAAACUGGAGGGCAUGCGGAUGUGAAUGUGGUUUGUUAUAGUCACAGACAGGACCGGGGGAAAACAAAAAC